AUUGAACGCUGGCGGCAUGCCUUACACAUGCAAGUCGAGCGGUAACGGGCCUUCGGGUGCCGACGAGUGGCGAACGGGUGAGUAAUGUAUCGGAACGUACCUUUCAGUGGGGGAUAACGUAGCGAAAGUUACGCUAAUACCGCAUAUUCCGUGAGCAGGAAAGCAGGGGAUCGCAAGACCUUGCGCUGAUUGAGCGGCCGAUAUCAGAUUAGCUAGUUGGUGAGGUAAAGGCUCACCAAGGCGACGAUCUGUAGCGGGUCUGAGAGGAUGAUCCGCCACACUGGAACUGAGACACGGUCCAGACUCCUACGGGAGGCAGCAGUGGGGAAUUUUGGACAAUGGGGGCAACCCUGAUCCAGCCAUGCCGCGUGAGUGAAGAAGGCCUUCGGGUUGUAAAGCUCUUUCGGCCGGGAAGAAAUCGUAUCAGCUAAUACCUGGUGCGGACGACGGUACCGGCAUAAGAAGCACCGGCUAACUACGUGCCAGCCGCCGCCGUAAAAC
rnacentral:rRNA from 1 species